GUGUGUAGCUCAGUGGUAGAGCACUUGUGUAGCAUACAGGAGGUCUGGGUUUGAUCCCUAGUAUCACA
rnacentral:tRNA from 1 species